ensembl:lincRNA Gm12974 predicted gene 12974
AGUGUCUUGGAAACCAGCGUCCGACUGUCAGCGUCUGCAUUCUAAGUGCUAACCAGGAUAGACACAUUUGGGCAGUGGCACAGUGAUGUGUUGGAACAUGCCUACUACUUGAUAAAAAGAGGGAGGCUGCCUGGAAAACAGCCUGGAUACACUCAUGGUGGACCAAGGAGGCGUCAGGAAGUGAAAGUGGGAAGAGAGGAGGUGAUGGAAGUUCUCUUGGGAUGCUGGAGAUGAGGCCAAGACUUCGCACAAGCACUGCGAGCACUCUACCACAGACCCAUAGCCCCACCUUUUGGCACUUCUGAAGAGACUCUGGUGGAACCAAGUCAGGCA